rnacentral:lncRNA from 1 species
AUGGAGACCACCCUGCAAAGUUCCUGGAUGGGGGUUCUGUGGGAGAGAGACUUUGAAGACUGUGGAGAGGAGCCUGAGCCUUCAACAGACGCUGUGGUUGAUGACAUCAUCACUAUAGCAGAGUCCCUAGGCUUGCAGGUAGACAGUGGAGAUGUUGAGGAACUGGUGGAGGAACCUUCAGAAUUGUCUACAGAGGAACUUACUUCAGAAACUCUGGCUGAGCAACAGAGAAUGGCAGCUGAGGAGCUUUCUGAAGAGGAGGAGGAGGACUAUCAACAAUCAGUGCAGCAAAGUUCUUUUGAAAUAAAGGACAUCCUGAAAAAAUGGGCAAACCCAAAGAUCCAAAAAAGACUCAAUCUUCUCUACAAUCUUUGUUGGGAAUUUCUUAAAUGUAAUCUUUCCAAGCUUUGUAUAGAAAAAGCCAUUUGAUACAUUCACUUUCUUAAUGACAAUGUCACAUCAUACUACAGAAUAGUGUUAAAGAAAAAGGCAGAAACAGUCUUAAGCCAGUUUUUGAUUAUGAAAAUGUUGAUACCUACUGAGCCAGAAGC